CCCAUUUCCACACAUUCCCAUUAAUCCACUGAGCACUAUAAGAAAAUUACAUGCUCAUUAGCCCACAUUGGUGGCUAAAAAACUUUAUUGUGAAUGAUUGUUGUAAUGGACCAUCCAUCAAUCGAUGCUCCUAGUGCUUACCAACGACCAUCAGCACCGCACCAGACACCAUAAGCACUGCAGACCCCACAAACUGCUGCAGCUUGGUUGGGGUCUCGCCUUCUCCUACCCACCCUGGACCCACAACCAGGCUCCAGGGGGUGAACCUCUCUUCCUUCAGAGAGCGAAGCAGGAACAGCUCUUAUAAGAGCUAGUGAUUAGAACCCAGGGGAGUAUACAGAGUAUAGCAAUCCCCAGUGUGAUUAUAGCAGUUCCCCCUCCAAUCACGAGACAAG